rnacentral:tRNA from 1 species
UGCCUCCGUAGCUCAGCUGGAUAGAGCGGGUCACUUCUAAUGACUAGGUCGCGGGUUCGAAUCCUGCCGGGGGCACCCA